AUUUUAUGACAUCGCUGCAUCUGUGUGUAUCUCAGCAGGUUACACCGUGAUUCUGUAUGUACCUGUUGGUGUUGGAUUUUGUGGAGUAGUUGUUAUUGCUAUUGCUAUAGGUUUCUGCCUAAGGUGCAAGAGGCACAAGCAGAAUAGAAAGCCAGACAAGCAUGAUUUUCAGAAUGCAGGCCAAAAUGCCAAAGAUGACACAUACACAGCUCUUGACCUGACUACCAGGACUAACGAUAACGUGUAUGAAGUGCUCGGAAAUGUUCAUCUUAGUCCUCCUGUUGACGCAUGCAUAUCGGGGCACUCUGACUACGAGAAUGUUGCAAAUUUAGACAACAUGAUGAAUACCAAUCAGUCCUGAUACAAGGUGAUCCUCAACUAGUUGUCAUGCUUCUCAUUCACCUGACCAGAGACUCGACCUUCAUCUUACCUUUUAUCACUGUUAGAACUCAGCUAUGCAUACUGCACAUUUAACUUUAUAUACAGAUAGAAGAGGUUCUCAAGGUUUGUGGCUGGACAGUGACUUUUGUGACAAUAUUGGAAUAAAAAAAGGAAAAACUAGGAAUGUUUAAUCCUAGUCCUGGAGGUCUGCUGCCCUGGAAAGUUCAGAUCCCACACACCUAACUCUAAUGUUUAAAUGCCCCUUCAUUACCUACAACAGGUGUGUUAGGCUAGGAGUGGUAGACCUUCAGCACAAGGAUGAAGCAUCCUUGGUUUACAUGUUUAUUGCAGCCUACAUUUAAGAUGUGGUUAAGAUAAACAGGUGAAUGUUGUGUAAUGGAAGGUAGCGACCUAACACCUAAUAUUGAAAUAUUGCAUUGAGUGUGAAACCAACUGCACUCACAGUCAAAGGGGAGUCUGUGCCUUCAUAUUUCUGCUUGUAAAUUCUUCAUUAUUGCUUAUUACAUGAAGUAAAGAUUAACCAAUAUAGCACUUGACUUUUUGUUUAUAUUGUUAUUAUUAUUAUCAGAUUAAGCAGUAUUAAUACAAUUUUUAACCAC
ensembl:lncRNA